CCUACGGGUGGCAGCAGUGAGGAAUAUUGGUCAAUGGACGAGAGUCUGAACCAGCCAAGUAGCGUGAAGGAUGACUGCCCUAUGGGUUGUAAACUUCUUUUAUAUGGGAAUAAAAUGUUCCACGUGUGGGAUUUUGUAUGUACCAUAUGAAUAAGGAUCGGCUAACUCCGUGCCAGCAGCCGCGGUAAUACGGAGGAUCCGAGCGUUAUCCGGAUUUAUUGGGUUUAAAGGGAGCGUAGGUGGAUUGUUAAGUCAGUUGUGAAAGUUUGCGGCUCAACCGUAAAAUUGCAGUUGAGACUGGCAGUCUUGAGUACAGUAGAGGUGUGCGGAAUUCGUGGUGUAGCGGUGAAAUGCUUAGAUAUCACGAAGAACUCCGAUUGCGAAGGCAGUUCACUGGACUGCAACUGACACUGAGGCUCGAAAGUGUGGGUAUCAAACAGGAUUAGAGACCCUGGUAGUC
rnacentral:rRNA from 1 species